UCCUGCACGCUAGCUUCACACGUGGUCCCACGCGUCAUAGUGGCAUCGUUUCUAUCCUUAUCUCACUACCUUAUCUUCUCGAGACAAAGCCAAAGCCAGCCGAAGAAAUCCCCAUCCCAUUGCGUCGCUCUCUCCUUCGACUCCUUUGCUACCGCCGGUGGCCACCGCGCCCAUUAAUCCCGUCAAAACCACCACUCACCGACGCUCUCUCUGCUACCGCGUCGUGUGGAACACUGGGAGACAUGGGGAGCUGCAAGGGUUGCGGAGAUAUGCGAGUUUGUGAGGCGGUAGAUGCUUUUUGUCGGCAGGGAGCUAGGGAUGCGUCUGCUUGACGCGCUCGCCGCGGUCUGCUGCCGGCAUCUCUGAUGCUGCAACCAGCCAUGGCCGGAGCUGGAACCGGCCUCACCGGAAGCUGCUAUAUGCAGUGCGCCAUGGCUAGACAUAGAUCAGUGCGACGGCAGCGACGGCAGGAUGCUACGACCGACCUGGUACCGACCUGGUGGGAUGCUGGAACCGCGGCCAGGCGGAGCUGCAACCGUGGCCUAGAAAAGCUGGAACCGUGCCGGAUGCUGGCGAGUGCUACAACCAUGGUGGCCAGAUGCUGGAUCCCGCACAAUUUUUUGCUUCUAUCGGUGUUUUCAAUUUUUUGCUGAAACUAGUGCCCCUUUUGCAUUUUUUACUACCACUCUUUUGUAUUUUGCCGGUACCAGCAUCAAUUUUUGCUACCACCGUGCAUCUGAUUUGCUGGAACCAACCCCCCAACUUGCAUCUUUUGCUACCAUCGGCCCUUUUAGUUUGCUGGAGCACAUAGAUGCAACAACCAUUGAUGCAGGAGCUGCAACCGUACCUGGUUUUUGCUGGAACCGGCGACCGCGGCGAGUUGUAGGGUGAGCACGGUGAGCUGCAGGGUUACCACGACAAGUUUGUGCAGAGGGGCGGGGUGCUGCUGCAACCAAAACCAGGUUUGCUGGAAGCGAUGAAUCAUUUUGCUAGAACCAGCUCCAAAAAAUGCUUCCACCAGAGUAUCUUUUUCGUUCUUUGCUAGACGAACGAUUUUUUGCUACAACCUUAUUUUUAAUUUGCUGGAACAAGGUUUUUCGAUUGAUUCAACAGGGGUGGCAAUACAGAGCAUCUUUUUCCGACAACCUUUUUUGUUUGUGAGCAUCGAUGGCGAGCGUUGCCAUGGAGCACGAUGGUGACUAUCGGCGGUGAGGGCAAACGGGGGAGGGUGACGGUGCGCUGCGCGACACGGCGAUGGGGGCGGCCGCCAUGACCUGCGGUGGUGCUUUUCCUCAGAUCUGAAAUCGUGACAGGGUGACAAGCGCUGGGGGGAAGCGCGAUCUGACGGCUAUGUGGGGGCGCAUCUAACGGCCAGGGUUGGACCGGCCCAAACUUUGGGCCAGCGUACCGGCGCAGAGUGCUGCCCUAUAAGUAACCCCUCCGUCUCGGGAUCGCUCCUUUCUUCCACCCCGGCCCCGCCUCUUUCCACUCAACCACGGGCGGCGAUCUGGAGCAAGGAGCGGGAGGCGCAGGCGGCGCGGCGGUCUGAGGUCAGGAUCGGCCGGGUCCAGGGCCUUCCCUGGAUGGAGGCGUGCAAGCUAAGUACUAUGGAGUGUUGCGUUGCGUGUGUCUGGUCAUUCGAUGAGAGCUUAAUUAGCUGCAGGCAUGGUAUGUAUUGGUACGGUAUGUUAUGUACUAGCAGGCAUUGCAUGGUCUCUGCGACUACUACGUACUCGAUCUAGAGUUUCUCUAGCAUGUGUUGUUCACUGCAUGCACGUACACAUAUGUAAUAUGUUUGUAAUAAUCGGUCUCCGGCUCCGGCCGGUGUGUUUGUUUCUCCGUCGAUCUACUUAAUUUGGCGAUAACUUAA